AAGUACUUCACAUUCGGAACGUGAAUCAAAUGUAGAUCUCUGCGAAAGCAGAUCGUACUUACUUCCUCAUAUGAACUAGCAAAGAAAUUGGAAAAAGCAAAGAUUGUCUUUAAAUUCCAAUUUUAAGGAACUUAAUUCCGUCACUAUAGUAGAGAUGGAUGAAUGUUUUGUUUGACAAAACAUUGUUCUUUAUUAAUGAAUGAUUAGAUUAUUGUAAUCUAAUUGAUUAUCUAUAUAGUAGAGAUGAUAUGGUAGUGUUAACUAUUUAGAAUAUAACGAUGCUUAAAACCCAAAAGGUUGCAAGGUAGUGACUAAUGCCAAAUGUUGCGAUACCUCUAAAACAUAAAUUACGAGUUGGUCAUAGAUGGAUGCUUUGGAUCGUUAGAUCCGGAUCCAAUGCCUUCUUGUUAAAAUUGUAUAGAGGCAAAAUGUUUGAAUCUUUAUUCUUUUGGAAAGGAAGAAAGAAUCACAAAGUUGUUGAGGUAAAUUCACUUAGAUGUUAGUGACGCUUGUCCACAACAUAAUACUACUCAUGUUGUAUGAUAUUCACUGAAGAUCGCUCUCGGUUGGACUAUCAUUUAUUUUGAAUAAACAUAAGUCCGAAUACUUUGCAAAAGGUUUCAAAGAAUUCAAGAAAUGUAAGUUGAUGAGUAAGAAGUCUAAAGUAUUUACCUCCUUAGAUUUGAUCCAAGGAAAGGUAACACUUUAGAACAGUUUCCUUGAAAGAUAUCAAGGAAAGAAGUAUCAUAAGAUAAUGGAUUUCUCCAUUAAGAGAAGAACGAACUCAAAUAAGAUUUAGUUCGUUGGAUGUUAUCAAUUACCCAUAUAUAAGAUAUACACUUCUAAGACAAUAUGAUUGUCAAUUAGAAGAUCUUCCAAAAUUUCAUGACUCCAUAGGAUGUAGUUGGAAAGAAAGACAAAUCUUAAUCAUGUUAAGAUUUGGGGUUGUGUGCUAAUAAGCAAUAUGUGUUUAAAGAAUUAUCUUGUGGGUAUCCUUAAAUUAACAUUUGGAUAUCACUUCUAUAAACUAGUUAACAAAUGUUGUUUGUUGGGUAGUUCAUUGUAAUCCUACACUAGGAUUUGCCUAAGAUAGAGCAAAUGAAUGAGGGAUAGAACUCAAAGAAUGGGUUCUUUGAGAGACAAGAUAGUGAUUAACAAAUAUAACAACCUAGUUCCUAUACCACAAGCUCCAAGGUAGUCGAGAAGGAUUUAUAAACUAUCUUAGUUGAAUGGUUUGAACUUUAUGAUUAUGUCAUAAAGUUACACCUCUUAAUUCGAAAGAAAUAAGAAUGAAAAUCCUUAUGAUUACAUUGAGUGUAUAUACGACAUAUACUCAAGGAAAUGGUAAAGUAUCAUUUGACUCGAAAUUAUGAAACCUUAGCUAAUUGGUAGCUUAAGGUGACUACAAUCAAAGAGAUUGGUUGACUGUGAAGAAACCAUCUUUAACGUAGUCUUGGUUUCAAUUAAUUCGAAGAUUGCUAGCUACAACUAAAUGGUGAUUCAAUGUUUGGAUAUAAUAUGGGUUUCCGAAACCAUUAUUAAGAUAGUCUUGAUAAUAUAUGUCUAAAACUAUGAAUCACAAGACCUGUAAGUUGUAGAGAUCCAUCCAUCAUGAAUCUUAGCAAGCUAGUGGGAGAUACAAGCGUCUUAUGAGAGAAAUGAUCAAAUCGUUUGAUUUCUCAUAAAGAUGUAAAUGAAUCUUUUUUUUACAAGGUUUACAAAAGAUUAGUGGGAGCUAGUCAUGUUCCUAAAUUUGAAUAUAUAUAUACACAUAUAUGAUAUAUUAAUUUUGGAAAUGAAAAGAAUACUUCUUCGUUAAAGUUAUGACUUUAAACAUUCUAUAAAGAUAAAAUGGAUAUGGGAGACAUAGUCUAUAUACAUGGGAUGGAAAUCUACAAUGAUAGAUUUCAAGAUAUAAUUGGAUUAUAUCAAUCCCUAAUAAUAGACAAAAGAUGCUAGGAAAUUUCUCAUAUGAUGAUAAACUUCAAUCAGAAGAACAACUCUAGUGAGACUAGGAGGUGGCUCUUCUCAAAGGGAACGUACCCUUUAACUCCCAAAGAAAUAAUGCGUUGUACCAAAUCGGUACAAGACGAUAUCAAUGCAAGCCCAGGAUCAGAACCAUGGCAACUGUCAAGUGAAUCCUUAAGUAUUUGAGAAAUAAUAAAGGAUGGAUUCCUUAAGAAUGAGGAAGAAUUAGAGUAACGUAAUGGAAGCGUAAAUGUAUUAGAUUAUGAAUCUAAUGCAUCAUUCGAUGUUUCUUCAUUAUGAAUGAAGAGAUAAUUAGAUAUCUCUUUAUUAUGACUAAAGAGAUAUUUGGAUGGAAACAUUAAAAGUAAUGACUUUAGUAUGUUCCAUUAUGCAUGCAAAAUAUAUUGCCAUAAAGAAGCUUACAACAAUGUUGUUUGGAUGAGAAAGUUCAUUUAUGAACUCUCUAUUCGGUUACAACCAGAAAGUGUCUCUAGUGUACCGACACUACGACACUAAUGGGGUGAUAGCUCAAGCCAGGGAAUCAAGGUCUCAUCAUGAUCCGAACUCAAAUGAGAGACUAAACCACAUGAUUAAGAAUCAUGUAUAAUGGUGACGUCGUUAUUCUCAAGGUUGCUUCUAUGGAUAACAUACAUAUAUCCAUUGUCUAGGCCUAUUACUCAGCCAUUUUUGAAAUGACUACAGAAGAGGUAUCAUCAUUGAUGACCAAGCUGAUUGGCUCUAGUGUAAGUGGGAGAUUGUUGGAAAUGUGCACUAAAACCAAUCAUAUGAUGAUACUUUACGGACAUUUCACAUGUUAAACUAAUCUAGUUUAAUAUCAAGGGCAAAGAUUAUUGUUUUAAGCCGUCUCAUAUAAAUGUUAUAUGCUUAAACGAUAAGUCCAAGGAAUAUGUAAUUAGGAGAAUGUAAUUUAAAGAAGUUAGAUUCAUGAGACCAUUCUCUUUCAUAUACAUAUCCUAAACGUUCCUGAUCAUAGGAUUGCCAAUUGAGCAUUGACAGUCCAUUAAGAUUAGUACGUGUUGUGUCUUCUCUCAGGAAGAGUGACUGCUCUCGAUUCAUUAGUGUGAUUGACACCAAGACAAGCAUGUAAGUGCUCAAUAGAGAAUGAGUCCACUGAACACGAUCAACGAGGAGUUCUCAUACUCAUGAUUGGGAUAAUGCAAAGUAGUCAUUUGACCUGAGACAUCGUAGUUAUCUUGUGGUUAGGUCCUUGAUCUUUGACUAUGUCAAAGUCAUUCUGUCAGAGGGUGUCCACGGCAUAGUUGGGGUUAAGCCACUUAGCCAUGGAGGCAAGUGAAUGCGCAACAAGGGAUCUCUAACCUUCAAAUCGUUUGAGGGAGAAUACUCUAUGAUAUGAUUAAGAAUCUCUGGCCAGAGUAUGAAUGAGAUUUAGGAAGUCGUUCCAAAUCACAUUCAAAGUAAUCAUAUAAGUAAAUGAAUCACAUUGGAUAGUAGACAUGAAUAAACUAUCAAACCAAACAAUAUGGUCAAGAGUAUUGUAUUAGAGAAAGACCGUAUUGCAUUGUAAUCCUAAACUGAAUAGGUUCUCCACCUCUUCUGAUUAGCUUGGGUAACCAUGACAUAUUGCUAGGUGUCACUCAUGGUUUGUGGAAGCCCUAAACGUAUAUAAACACUAAAGGGAGAAUUGAAAGUAAGUUUCAAUUCACAAUCGAUUUGAAAGAGU
rnacentral:lncRNA from 1 species